GCAGUCGAGCGGAAACGAGUUAUCUGAACCUUCGGGGAACGAUAACGGCGUCGAGCGGCGGACGGGUGAGUAAUGCCUAGGAAAUUGCCCUGGUGUGGGGGAUAACCAUUGGAAACGAUGGCUAAUACCGCAUAAUGCCUACGGGCCAAAGAGGGGGACCUUCGGGCCUCUCGCGUCAGGAUAUGCCUAGGUGGGAUUAGCUAGUUGGUGAGGUAAUGGCUCACCAAGGCGACGAUCCCUAGCUGGUCUGAGAGGAUGAUCAGCCACACUGGAACUGAGACACGGUCCAGACUCCUACGGGAGGCAGCAGUGGGGAAUAUUGCACAAUGGGCGCAAGCCUGAUGCAGCCAUGCCGCGUGUGUGAAGAAGGCCUUCGGGUUGUAAAGCACUUUCAGUCGUGAGGAAGGUAGUGUAGUUAAUAGCUGCAUUAUUUGACGUUAGCGACAGAAGAAGCACCGGCUAACUCCGUGCCAGCAGCCGCGGUAAUACGGAGGGUGCGAGCGUUAAUCGGAAUUACUGGGCGUAAAGCGCAUGCAGGUGGUUUGUUAAGUCAGAUGUGAAAGCCCGGGGCUCAACCUCGGAAUAGCAUUUGAAACUGGCAGACUAGAGUACUGUAGAG
rnacentral:rRNA from 1 species